ACAUCCAGAGAAUUUAGCAGAGAUGCUUUAGUGCCUUCGGGAACUCUGAGACAGGUGCUGCAUGGCUGUCGUCAGCUCGUGUUGUGAAAUGUUGGGUUAAGUCCCGCAACGAGCGCAACCCUUAUCCUUUGUUGCCAGCACGUAAUGGUGGGAACUCAAAGGAGACUGCCGGUGAUAAACCGGAGGAAGGUGGGGAUGACGUCAAGUCAUCAUGGCCCUUACGAGUAGGGCUACACACGUGCUACAAUGGCGCAUACAAAGAGAAGCGACCUCGCGAGAGCAAGCGGACCUCAUAAAGUGCGUCGUAGUCCGGAUUGGAGCUGCAACUCGACUCCAUGAAGUCGGAAUCGCUAGUAAUCGUAAAUCAGAAUGUUACGGUGAAUACGUUCCCGGGCCUUGUACACACCGCCCGUCACACCAUGGGAGUGGGUUGCAAAAGAAGUAGAUAGCUUAACCUUCGGGAGGGCGUUUACCACUUUGUGAUUCAUGACUGGGGUGAAGUCGUAACAAGGUAGGCGUAGUGCU
rnacentral:rRNA from 1 species